AACGUAGGUGGCGAGCGUUAUCCGGAUUUACUGGGCGUAAAGGGUGUGCAGGCGGGCUGUUAAGUGGUGUAUGAAAUAUCCCGGCUCAACCGGGAGAGGUUAUGCCAGACUGGCAGUCUAGAGAGCGAGAGAGGGACGUGGAAUUCCGGGUGUAGUGGUGAAAUGCGUAGAGAUCCGGAGGAACACCGGUGGCGAAGGCGGGUCUCUGGGCCGAUACUGACGCUGAGGAGCGAAAGCAUGGGUAGCGAACAGG
rnacentral:rRNA from 1 species